rnacentral:rRNA from 1 species
CCCUUAGAUGUUCUGGGCCGCACGCGCGCUACACUGAUGUGUUCAACAAGUCUUCACCUCGGUCGAGAGGCCCGGGUAAUCUUCGGAAAGCACAUCGUGAUGGGGAUAGAUUAUUGCAAUUAUUAAUCUUCAACGAGGAAUUCCUAGUAAACGCAAGUCAUCGGCUUGCAUUGAUUACGUCCCUGCCCUUUGUACACACCGCCCGUCGCUACUACCGAUUGAAUGUUUUAGUGAGUUUCGGGGACCGGGGCUUUUGGUGGCAACACUGAUCGCUCUGGAAACCGAUGCAAACUUGAGCAUUUAGAGGAAGUAAAAGUCGUAACA